AGAGUUUGAUCAUGGCUCAGAUUGAACGCUGGCGGCAUGCCUUACACAUGCAAGUCGAACGGCAGCACGGGUGCUUGCACCUGGUGGCGAGUGGCGAACGGGUGAGUAAUAUAUCGGAACGUACCCUAGAGUGGGGGAUAACGUAGCGAAAGUUACGCUAAUACCGCAUACGAUCUACGGAUGAAAGUGGGGGAUCGCAAGACCUCAUGCUCAUGGAGCGGCCGAUAUCUGAUUAGCUAGUUGGUGGGGUAAAAGCCUACCAAGGCGACGAUCAGUAGCUGGUCUGAGAGGACGACCAGCCACACUGGAACUGAGACACGGUCCAGACUCCUACGGGAGGCAGCAGUGGGGAAUUUUGGACAAUGGGGGCAACCCUGAUCCAGCAAUGCCGCGUGAGUGAAGAAGGCCUUCGGGUCGUAAAGCUCUUUUGUCAGGGAAGAAACGGGAUUUUCUAAUACAAAGUCCUAAUGACGGUACCUGAAGAAUAAGCACCGGCUAACUACGUGCCAGCAGCCGCGGUAAUACGUAGGGUGCAAGCGUUAAUCGGAAUUACUGGGCGUAAAGCGUGCGCAGGCGGUUGUGCAAGACAGAUGUGAAAUCCCCGGGCUCAACCUGGGAAUUGCAUUUGUGACUGCACGGCUAGAGUGUGUCAGAGGGGGGUAGAAUUCCACGUGUAGCAGUGAAAUGCGUAGAGAUGUGGAGGAAUACCGAUGGCGAAGGCAGCCCCCUGGGAUAACACUGACGCUCAUGCACGAAAGCGUGGGGAGCAAACAGGAUUAGAUACCCUGGUAGUCCACGCCCUAAACGAUGUCUACUAGUUGUCGGGUCUUAAUUGACUUGGUAACGCAGCUAACGCGUGAAGUAGACCGCCUGGGGAGUACGGUCGCAAGAUUAAAACUCAAAGGAAUUGACGGGGACCCGCACAAGCGGUGGAUGAUGUGGAUUAAUUCGAUGCAACGCGAAAAACCUUACCUACCCUUGACAUGUACGGAACUUACCAGAGAUGGUUUGGUGCUCGAAAGAGAACCGUAACACAGGUGCUGCAUGGCUGUCGUCAGCUCGUGUCGUGAGAUGUUGGGUUAAGUCCCGCAACGAGCGCAACCCUUGUCAUUAGUUGCUACGAAAGGGCACUCUAAUGAGACUGCCGGUGACAAACCGGAGGAAGGUGGGGAUGACGUCAAGUCCUCAUGGCCCUUAUGGGUAGGGCUUCACACGUCAUACAAUGGUACAUACAGAGGGCCGCCAACCCGCGAGGGGGAGCUAAUCCCAGAAAGUGUAUCGUAGUCCGGAUUGUAGUCUGCAACUCGACUACAUGAAGUUGGAAUCGCUAGUAAUCGCGGAUCAGCAUGUCGCGGUGAAUACGUUCCCGGGUCUUGUACACACCGCCCGUCACACCAUGGGAGCGGGUUUCACCAGAAGUAGGUAGCCUAACCGCAAGGAGGGCGCUUACCACGGUGGGAUUCGUGACUGGGGUGAAGUCGUAACAAGGUA
rnacentral:rRNA from 1 species